ACGGGUGAGUAAUACAUCGGAACGUAUCCUGGAGUGGGGGAUAGCCCGGCGAAAGCCGGAUUAAUACCGCAUACGCUCUGAGGAGGAAAGCGGGGGACCUUCGGGCCUCGCGCUCAAGGGGCGGCCGAUGGCGGAUUAGGUAGUUGGUGGGGUAAAGGCCUACCAAGCCGACGAUCCGUAGCUGGUCUGAGAGGACGACCAGCCACACUGGGACUGAGACACGGCCCAGACUCCUACGGGAGGCAGCAGUGGGGAAUUUUGGACAAUGGGGGCAACCCUGAUCCAGCAAUGCCGCGUGUGUGAAGAAGGCCUUCGGGUUGUAAAGCACUUUUGUCCGGAAAGAAAUCAUCGGGGCCAAUACCCCUGGUGGAUGACGGUACCGGAAGAAUAAGCACCGGCUAACUACGUGCCAGCAGCCGCGGUAAUACGUAGGGUGCGAGCGUUAAUCAGAAUUACUGGGCGUAAAGCGUGCGCAGGCGGUGCUGUAAGACCGAUGUGAAAUCCCCGGGCUUAACCUGGGAACUGCAUUGGUGACUGCAGCGCUGGAGUAUGGCAGAGGGGGGUGGAAUUCCACGU
rnacentral:rRNA from 1 species